rnacentral:rRNA from 1 species
CCCUUAGAUGUUCUGGGCCGCACGCGCGCUACACUGAUGCAUUCAACGAGUUCCUACCUUGGCCGAGAGGCCUGGGCAAUCUUUUGAACUUGCAUCGUGAUAGGGAUAGAUUAUUGCAAUUAUUAAUCUUGAACGAGGAAUUCCUAGUAAACGCAGAUCAUCAAUCUGCAUUGAUUACGUCCCUGCCCUUUGUACACACCGCCCGUCGCACCUACCGAUUGAAUGGUCCGGUGAAGCCUCGGGAUUGUGGUUAGUUUCCUUCAUUGGAAGAUAGCCGCGAGAACUUGUCUAAACCUUAUCAUUUAGAGGAAGGUGAAGUCGUAACA